rnacentral:rRNA from 1 species
UACGAAGGGGGCUAGCGUUGUUCGGAUUUACUGGGCGUAAAGCGCACGUAGGCGGCUUGUUAAGUCAGAGGUGAAAUCCCAGGGCUCAACCCUGGAACUGCCUUUGAUACUGGCAGGCUCGAGUAUGGUAGAGGUUGGUGGAACUGUGAGUGUAGAGGUGAAGUUCGUAGAUAUUCGCAAGAACACCAGUGGCGAAGGCGGCCAACUGGACCAUUACUGACGCUGAGGUGCGAAAGCGUGGGGAGCAAACAGG